GCCGGAGAUCAACGGUGAAGCUAGCGAAUUCAUAUCAAUAAUUCAAGGAACAAUGGGUCGUGACUAUUUUUCGAAAUUAGCAGAGGAAAGUUAUGAUAAGGCUUGGAUUAUGUGAAUUUCUUCGUAGAUAAUGGAUACUCCUAAUUAGUUUUUUUUUUAAGAUUUACUUUGAAUUAUUCAAGUCACAUUGGAUGACAAAUUUGAAGAUCAUUUUUUUGUACUUCGAUUAUAUACAAUUUGUUAUUCCAAUAAUACUUCUUCUAUUAUCUCAUACUUUUGUUUUUAAUAGGUUCAUUUAAUAUAUAUGAACAGGGGAAAAGCUUAUAGAUUA